rnacentral:lncRNA from 1 species
AAAGAAUAGAAUGUGUGAGAAAAGGAAAUAAGGAAACUUUAAUGCUAACUUUUAACAAGAAAUAGUCAACUUGUAUUACUUUGAGUUCAUUUGAUUACAAUACUAAAGACAAGUAACACAAGGAAUCCCAUAUAUAAUACCAAAAUACUGGGAUUUCAUUUCAACUAAAACAAAACAAACAUGCAUAAAAACAUAAACAGAAUAUAUAUAUAAUGUCUGAUGAGUGGGGUGAUGGUGCUAAGCAGAAGGAUCUGCCUCCUCAGUAGGUGGAUCAGCU